CACCUGCGCCACGAGUAGGAGCCGCUUUUAUUGGGCCUAAAGCGUCCGUAGCUGGUAUGACAAAUCUUUUGUGAAAUUGUUGCGCUUAACGUAACAACGUGCAAGAGACACUAUCAUACUAGGGACUGGGAAGGGUGAGAGGUAUUCCGGGGGGAGCGGUAAAAUGUUAUAAUCCUCGGAAGACCACCUGUGGCGAAGGCGUCUCACUAGAACAGAUCCGACAGUCAGGGACGAAAGCUAGGGGAGCGAUCCGG
rnacentral:rRNA from 1 species